AGACCAUGAAGAACAACGCAGAGGAGGAAAGACGGAGAGGGACACAUCCUCAGUCCUCCCUUUAACAUGCUGCCCAGCAUCCAAACGUACCUGGAGAGCAGAGGGAGAUGUGUUCAUUUUCAAGACCCUGCUCAGUCCACCCAGUUCCUACCGUUUCUGUGAGGGGGUCAUCAGAGCAGACAGCUUGUCGUUGUAGAACCUCCUCAUGGCAAAGUGGUCGAGAGAAAGGUCUGCACUGAGGGAGAGGCAGACAUUCAGUAGUCACCUGACAUCAGUGUUACCUGGCUGACAUGUUGUUGAAGUGGAUGUAAGAAGCAACCAGGACUCCGAGCCGCCCUUUACCUCCCUGUGUGGACGACAGACACAGAAUCA